GACGAAGGGGGCGGGCGUUAUCCAUGAUGACUGGGCGUAAAGAGUCCGUAGGCAGCUUUUCUAGUUAAAAGUAAAAUCAAAAAGCUUAACUUUUUGAGGCUUUUAAAACGUUAGAGCUUGGAGUUUGAAGGGAAAUAGUAGAAUUUCAUAUGGAGGGGUGAAAUCCGUAGAAUUAUGAAGGAAUACUAAUGGCGAAGGCGACUAUUUACUUCAAUCUGACGCUGAGGGACGAAAGCAUGGGGAGCAAACAGG
rnacentral:rRNA from 1 species